GGUAAAUCUCGUGCCAGCCACCGCGGUCAUACAAGAAACCCAAAUCAAUAGCCACCCGGCGUAAAGAGUGGCCACAUGUUAUCUACACUAACUAAGAUCAAAGCGAGACUGAGCUGUCAUAAGCCCAAGACUCACCUAAGCCCAACCUAAAACCAUCUUAGUUCUCCACGACCAAUUUCAACCCACGAAAGCCAGGACACAAACUGGGAUUAGAUACCCCACUAUGCCUGGCCCUAAAUCUUGAUAUCACAUUCACUAAUAUAUCCGCCCGAGAACUACGAGCACAAACGCUUAAAACUCUAAGGACUUGGCGGUGCCCCAAACCCACCUAGAGGAGCCUGUUCUAUAAUCGAUAAUCCACGAUUCACCCAACCAUCCUUUGCCAACACAGCCUACAUACCGCCGUCGCCAGCUCACCUCUAAUGAAAGAGCAACAGUGAGCCCAACAGCCCCCACUAGUAAGACAGGUCAAGGUAUAGCCUAUGGGAUGGAAGAAAUGGGCUACAUUUUCUAACAUAGAAUAAACGGAAAAGGACAUGAAAACCGGUCCUAAGAAGGAGGAUUUAGCAGUAAGAUGAGAUCAUCCCCAGCUCACCUUAAGACGGCCCUGGGGCACGUACAUACCGCCCGUCACCCUCUUCAAUAAGCCACUAACACCAAUAAAUAAUAUCUACUCCGGCUAAAGACGAGGUAAGUCGUAACAAGGUAAGCAUACUGGA
rnacentral:rRNA from 1 species